rnacentral:tRNA from 1 species
GGAAGUGGAUAGGACACUGGUGGUCCUCCCGGACUUCAAAUCCGGUGUGAGGGGUUAAUAGCCUCUCGGGUGGGUUCGAUUCCCAUGCACUUCCGCCA